rnacentral:rRNA from 1 species
UACGGAGGGUGCAAGCGUUAUCCGGAUUCACUGGGCUUAAAGGGUGCGUAGGCGGCUAAGUAAGUCAGUGGUGAAAUCUCCGAGCUUAACUCGGAAACUGCCGUUGAUACUAUUUGUCUUGAAUAUUGUGGAGGUAAGCGGAAUAUGUCAUGUAGCGGUGAAAUGCUUAGAUAUGACAUAGAACACCAAUUGCGAAGGCAGCUUACUACACAAUGAUUGACGCUGAGGCACGAAAGCGUGGGGAGCAAACAGG